rnacentral:rRNA from 1 species
ACGGGGUGCAGCAGGCGAGAAAACUUUGCAAUGUGCGAAAGCACGACAAGGUUAAUCCGAGUGAUUCCUGCUAAAGGAAUCUUUUGUUAGUCAUAAAACCACUAAUGAAUAAGGGGUGGGCAAGUUCUGGUGUCAGCCGCCGCGGUAAAACCAGCACCUCAAGUGGUCAGGAUGAUUAUUGGGCCUAAAGCAUCCGUAGCCGGCUUUGUUAGUUUUCGGUUAAAUCCAUAUGCUCAACAUAUGGGCCGCCGGGAAUACUACAAAGCUAGGGAGUGGGAGAGGUAGACGGUACUCCGUAGGAAGGGGUAAAAUCCUUUGAUCUAUGGAUGACCACCAGUGGCGAAGGCGGUCUACCAGAACACGUUCGACGGUGAGGGAUGAAAGCUGGGGGAGCAAACCGGAUUAGAUACCCGGGUAGUCCCAGCUGUAAACUAUGCAAACUCAGUGAUGCAUUGGCUUGUGGCCAGUGCAGUGCCGCAGAGAAGUCGUUAAGUUUGCCGCCUGGGAAGUACGUACGCAAGUAUGAAACUUAAAGGAAUUGGCGGGGGAGCAC